rnacentral:rRNA from 1 species
UAGAGUUUGAUCCUGGCUCAGAAUCAACGCUGGCGGCGUGCCUAACACAUGCAAGUCGCACGAGAAAGGGGCUUCGGCUCUGAGUAAAGUGGCGCACGGGUGAGUAACACGUGAAUUAUCUACCUCCGAGUGGGGAAUAACUGAGAGAAAUCUUAGCUAAUACCGCAUAACACUUACGAGUCAAAGCAGCAAUGCGCUUGGAGAGGAGUUCGCGGCCGAUUAGUUAGUUGGCGGGGUAAUGGCCCACCAAGACGAUGAUCGGUAUCCGGCCUGAGAGGGCGCACGGACACACUGGAACUGAAACACGGUCCAGACUCCUACGGGAGGCAGCAGUGGGGAAUUUUGCGCAAUGGGGGAAACCCUGACGCAGCAACGCCGCGUGGAGGAUGAAAUCCCUUGGGAUGUAAACUCCUUUCGAUAGGGAAGAUUAUGACGGUACCUAUAGAAGAAGCCCCGGCUAACUUCGUGCCAGCAGCCGCGGUAAUACGAGGGGGGCAAGCGUUGUUCGGAAUUAUUGGGCGUAAAGGGCGCGUAGGCGGUUUGACAAGUCUGAUGUGAAAUCUCUGGGCUCAACCCAGAGUCUGCAUUAGAAACUGUCGGGCUUGAGUAUGGGAGAGGUGAGUGGAAUUUCCGGUGUAGCGGUGAAAUGCGUAGAUAUCGGAAGGAACACCUGUGGCGAAAGCGGCUCACUGGACC